GCGUGCGGGAAGAAGGCCUUCGGGUUGUAAACCGCUUUUGUCAGGAACGAAACGGUGUUGGCUAAUAACCAGCGCUAAUGACGGUACCUGAAGAAUAAGCACCGGCUAACUACGUGCCAGCAGCCGCGGUAAUACGUAGGGUGCAAGCGUUAAUCGGAAUUACUGGGCGUAAAGCGUGCGCAGGCGGUUAUGUAAGACAGGUGUGAAAUCCCCGGGCUCAACCUGGGAACUGCAUUUGUGACUGCAUAGCUAGAGUUUGUCAGAGGGGGGUGGAAUUCCACGUGUAGCAGUGAAAUGCGU
rnacentral:rRNA from 1 species